rnacentral:rRNA from 1 species
UGGGGAAUAUUGCACAAUGGGCGCAAGCCUGAUGCAGCCAUGCCGCGUGUAUGAAGAAGGCCUUCGGGUUGUAAAGUACUUUCAGCGGGGAGGAAGGCGAUAAGGUUAAUAACCUUGUCGAUUGACGUUACCCGCAGAAGAAGCAUCGGCUAACUCCGUGCCAGCAGCCGCGGUAAUACGGAGGGUGCAAGCGUUAAUCGGAAUUACUGGGCGUAAAGCGCACGCAGGCGGUCUGUCAAGUCGGAUGUGAAAUCCCCGGGCUCAACCUGGGAACUGCAUUCGAAACUGGCAGGCUAGAGUCUUGUAGAGGGGGGUAGAAUUCCAGGUGUAGCGGUGAAAUGCGUAGAGAUCUGGAGGAAUACCGGUGGCGAAGGCGGCCCCCUGGACAAAGACUGACGCUCAGGUGCGAAAGCGUGGGGAGCAAACA